UUUACCAGAUAAGCUUUUUAAAAAAUUAUGUUCAACAAUUAUCUUUUUAUUGUAGUUAAGUUUUUCAAAUUCUUGCUGUUUUCAAUAUCUCCUGGUUUCAUCAUCCCUACUGAGAAAUUACGUAUACAAUCUUAUAAUUAAUUGUUUGCUUUGGUCUUCUUUUAUUUUCCUGCUUUAUGAUAAAAUUUUCAUUAGCCUAAAUGUGUUAUUAAUUUUUCUUGUUUCUUAAAUAUUUGUUCAAUAUUAUAUUCACAACUUUAAGUUCAAAGGAUCAGUUUUCUGAACAGAUCUUCAUACACUAUAAAUUCCUUGUUGUAUGACCAUCUCUAAUAAUUUUAUUUUUAAUUUUUAGGUAAUGCCUGAUUAUAAUUUAAAUAAGGACGUUGACAAAAAUUAAUGAACCAUUUGCACAAAAAAUAUUUGAAUCAACAUUUAUUCACUCCUGGAAGAUAUUAAAUAUUUCAACAGAAUAUUCCAAUGGAUGGAACUUUUUCCAGCAUCUGGAUUAUUUUCCAGGUUAGACACAUGUUUGUCCACAGACUUGUCUUCUCUGAAUGAAAUCCAAAAGUUGUUUUUACUCCUAGAACCCUCAAAGCCUCUCUGUUUUUUGUCUAUCUAUUUUGCUCACUGUUGUUGAAUCUAUAUUCUUCAAAUGUGCCUUUACCAAGUCUCCAAAAUCACUGUGAGUAUAUGAUUCUCUGGGUAUGAGGUUGUGUAGUCAUGUCAAAUUAAAAUUUAAUAUUCCACAUACAGUCUGCACAGACAAAUAUAAGAAAUUUUGUAAUAACAUUUGUCUUGGUUAGUGUUGAUAGCUGAAUGCGAUUUCUUAUUCUACUGUGGAUCAAUAGAUCAAGAUUCCUUCAGAGAGGAAAGGCAAGUACCCAAAGGUUUUCUUCUAAUGACUGAAACACGUGGUCAGAAGACACACUAUUAACACUCGUCCUAAUAAUUUUUCAGCUAAAGAGUUGGGAAUGUAAGGAAAGGAAAUGGCUAGACUAUUCAAGAUUCUACUGGCAGAUUAUUUGUGAUGGUUGGUCUCUUUUUGCCUCCUAGAACAUUCAAGAGUACUUCAAGAUGCAAAGGAAAGAAGAGUUAAGAAAAGAAGGCCUUUCAUAACAUAUUGUUCCACAGGGGCUCUGAGCCCCACCAGGACAAAGUUUUCACAGUUGCUAGAGUUAACAAGACACGAAACCUACUAGGAAAAGACCUGACUUCUAUUUGCCAUGAUGGAAAACUCCCCACAGUAAUUCUGGAAUGUUUUAUGUUACUAUCUGCCUUAUGGACAAGAUCCUGCUUCUUAAAUGAACCCUAAUCUCUUCAAUUCCAUCAGCAUGAAGAGAAACAAUUGUGCAUCAAAUCAUUGGCUAUACAAUAAGGAUAUGCUGUCUCUCAACAAAGAAAAUGGAACCAAAACUGAGGGUAUAUUGGCAAUAUCACUAAACAUAGCAUCAUGUCAAACAAUAAAGAAGUUGGAUUGUGAAAAAGAUGUAAACAUAAAAACAAUCCAUCUGUGCAUAUGGUAGCAUGUAUCUUAAAGGAAUUACUUCAAAUUAUCAAAGGAAAUUUGCUGACAUCUAGACUAUAUGAAGAAUGACUUGGGGUACAUGACCAGGUCAAUGAAGAAGAGAAAGUAGCCACUGUGCAGAGUCCUUAUUUCAAAUACCUCCCACCAGGACCAAAUGUGUAUGGUCUUGUCUAUUGAUAAGACAGAAAACCUACUUGAAAAAGAGCUGACAACAAUUUGUGAUGAUCGAAAUCUGCCCACAGAAAUUCUGGAUAUGCUGUUCUUCAUCCAAGAAAAGGGGCCCCAAAUUCAGGAUAUAUCCAUAAUUUCACACAACAUAGCAUCAUGAAGAAGUUGGAUUGUGAAGAAGAUGUAAACAUAAAAAAAUAAUCCAUCUGUGUAUAUGGUAGCAUGUAUCUUAAAGAACUUGCUUAAACAACCAGACUGUGGGACUAACAAAAGUGAAGCUUCUCCUGCAUUUCUCUGAGGCCCAAUCCCAAAGCAGAUAUCCUGAUCCUCUGGAAUUACUUCAAAUCACUUAAGAAAGUCUGCUGACAUCUCGACUAUAUGAAGAAUGACUUGGAGUACCAGACCAAGUCAAUGAAGAAGAGAAAGUAGCCACUGUGCAGAGUCUUUUAGAAAACUACUGCACUCACAUGUUACUCUUCUAAGACAACGUUUCAAAUUAUUAUAUUAAGUUGAGAGGAAUUCUUCUGUGAACCAGAUGACAGCUUAUGAUUUAUCUGUUGUGCCAAGUAUCCUAUAUCUGCCUAGUUCCCACAAUAAACGAUUAGCAAAUGAUAUUGCCAAAAAGAUUUCUCUUAUAAACUUUCCAAUUGAAAACUCCCUGAAAUUAUUUGAAGAAGACUCAGUUUUAGUUUAUUAUGAGACCUCAUUAUUUCACCCUUAUGGAGUGGACUCUGAUUCCCAGAAUAAUCUUUCUAAUCCAGAAGGCAUGCGUGCUAUAAAAGGAAAAGGGCAUGCAAGAGCUAAGUGAAUUCAACUACAACAAACGAUGACAUACCUUCUUUCAUAGAAUCAGAGAAACCUGAAAAAUACAUUUUUUUAUAAAUCAAUUAAUUACUUGUGAAUCUGAUACCCGCAAAGUCAAUGUAUACAUAGCCCCACCAGCACCAAACAAAAAGCAACUUGUUGGGAAUUAUCAAAUUCUGCCAGCACCAAUAAAGAAAAAAACCCUUCUUAGCAAGUCUCUCAUGGAAAUCUUUCUUCUCCAAUACUGGAUAUAUUAGCUAUCAUUGCUGAAAAGGGACAAAAGUCAUAUAAAAUACUAAGAACACUAUCAGUUGAAUCACACUGGUACACGAGGGAUAAAAUUGAUGCUGAAUAAGAAGAGGUGAAUUGGAGUCAAGAAUCAGUCCUUGUUAUAGUAUCUGCUUUAUAGGGGGAUUUCAUUCUAAAUAUAUAAAGAAACUUGCUUUCUACAGAUUUAUGUAAUUUAUUUGGUGUCUCUGAUCAAGAAAUUUGAUCAAAAGAUUCUGCUAUCCAAAGAUAAUGAUACAGUAAAUUCUUCGGGAACCAUACAAAGAUAGAAGAAAUGCAUUUUUAAAGUUUUCUACCACAGAUGCCACAACAAAACUUCAUCCUACUAAAACACCUUAUUCAUGUGUUAUUAAAGAUUAAAAUUUCUCCCAUGAAGACUUAGACUCUUAACAGUUUAUCUGUUCACAUAACCCCUAUAUUCCAUGGCAUUCUACUUCCAGCAACUCGUUAUUUGGGAAUGACCUUUCCAAAAAGAUUUCUAUUGAAGAAAUUCUAACUGAAAACUAGCUCUAGAUAUUUGGAGAUGACGAUCAUACAUUUUAUAAAGAUAUUCCAAAAAGGUCUGAUGACAUAAAAAUGUCUUCAGGUUCACUAAAUACUGUUGAUAGAGCAUGUGCUAUGAAAGAUGCCAUAAGUGACCCCCCUGAGAAAACCUUCUUUAAUGCUAAUGCUGAAAAAUUAAAGAUUCCAUUUGCUGCCCCUCAGAAGGAAGGUCCUACAGAGAGCAGGGCACAACAAACAGCUUCUAUAUGUUCCGUGUUUAACAGUGGAAUCAAUGGCAGAGGAUGACUGAAGAUGCUUACAGCUCAUUCUACUUCAAAGUUCCUUUCCACCUCCCAUUCAACAAUAGAAGAAUAUAUCAUUACAAGACACUGCAGCUUUUAUAUUUUACAUUAUUGUUACAAAGAGUUGUCACUGAUCAUUUUGACUUUAUGCUAUAUAUUACACAUUCUUUAUUAUUAUAAUGAAUGUUAUUAAACUAUAAUAUUGAUUAAACUCC
rnacentral:sRNA from 1 species